CACGUGGGCGGAUAUUUAAGUCAGGGGUGAAAUCCCAGAGCUCAACUCUGGAACUGCCUUUGAUACUGGGUAUCUUGAGUAUGGAAGAGGUAAGUGGAAUUCCGAGUGUAGAGGUGAAAUUCGUAGAUAUUCGGAGGAACACCAGUGGCGAAGGCGGCUUACUGGUCCAUUACUGACGCUGAGGUGCGAAAGCGUGGGGAGCAAACA
rnacentral:rRNA from 1 species